rnacentral:lncRNA from 7 species
AUGUCCCUUCUAUAAUUGUACAUGAGAUCUGUAAAAUCUUACUGGAAGACAGAAGGAGCCAGCAAAGAAAUAACUAUCCUUGUAUUAACAUUUUAAUGUAAAUUGUUUUACCAAUUAAACUCCCCUGCCAAUAGCAAAUAAGAGGAAUAAGCAUAGUAGUUUAAUCUAUAAAGAUGGAAAAUAGUUACACUGUUGAGUGAAAAUUCUGCAGGCAACCUGUCGAUGGAUGACCAAACACAUUAUACAAUUUUACUAUUAUAUCUUCCUCUUUUAGAGCAUCCUUUUUGAUCUUCCAUUUACUGGUUUUGCAGGAAGCAUAUGCUCAAUUUGUGUUUUUAGAUCCAUGAUAUGUUGUCGGUCUGUUGUUUGUAGUCCUAGAUAUCUUCGUUUUUGUCACUACUAAAAACACCGAUCGGUUCUGAUGUACUGCUAUUUAUUGCUCUGAUAUUUUUGUCAUGUAUGUGAUUGGUGACUUGGGCUUUACUAGAGGAACAUUCGUGGUAUAGUUUUGAAGAGAGAAACAUCAAGUAAGUGGCGACAUCACAACCCCUACAAGUUUGUGCCUCAAAACAAGAGGAUACAAGAAGUUGGAGUGCUUUUGUGAAGGCUUUUGCGAAUCACUUGAAACGUUGGUACUUUUGUGAAUGAUUUUGUAAAGUGUUUGCAAAUAUGUGCAAAACAUAAUAACAUGUGUAGGUUUUGUGAAUGAUUUUGUUGUGGUGCUUGUUGAUGGUUUAUGUGAUGUGGAUCUAUCAUUGUGCAAUACUAAUUAAAUUUG